AUGAACGCUGGCGGCGUGCCUAAUACAUGCAAGUCGAGCGAACAGACGAGGAGCUUGCUCCUUCGACGUUAGCGGCGGACGGGUGAGUAACACGUAGGUAACCUACCUAUAAGACUGGGAUAACUUCGGGAAACCGGAGCUAAUACCGGAUAAUAUUUCGAGCCGCAUGGUUCGAUAGUGAAAGAUGGCUUUGCUAUCACUUAUAGAUGGACCUGCGCCGUAUUAGCUAGUUGGUAAGGUAACGGCUUACCAAGGCAACGAUACGUAGCCGACCUGAGAGGGUGAUCGGCCACACUGGAACUGAGACACGGUCCAGACUCCUACGGGAGGCAGCAGUAGGGAAUCUUCCGCAAUGGGCGAAAGCCUGACGGAGCAACGCCGCGUGAGUGAUGAAGGUCUUCGGAUCGUAAAACUCUGUUAUUAGGGAAGAACAAACGUGUAAGUAACUGUGCACGUCUUGACGGUACCUAAUCAGAAAGCCACGGCUAACUACGUG
rnacentral:rRNA from 1 species